GCAUCCGCCUGUAGACGUGCAGCUUUCUGUCCGAAAGGAAGAUUGAAACUCUCCUGGAUAACGGUGAAGGCUAAGUUUACCAUUUGGUGAAUAUGCGAAUACCGUGGGAACCCUUUGCGCUCAAAAAAAUAGCAUUGGGGCGCCGUAGAGACUAGAUACAGGGGUACCUAAAGAUAGAAAUGUCUAUGGUAAAGAUAUAGUCCACGCCAUUAUGAAAAUAGUGG
rnacentral:ncRNA from 1 species